GGCUCGUUGGUCUAGGGGUACGAUUCUCGCUUCGGGUGCGAGAGAUCCCGGGUUCAAAUCCCGGACGAGCCC
rnacentral:tRNA from 1 species